CUAAUUCUAUUCCAUUAAAUCUCUUUUUGAUAUAGGAAACCUAAAAUCACCUGGACUGGAUGGUGAUAAGGACGCGCUUGAAACAAGAUCGCAAGUUUAUUUAAGUCGCAGAUUUGGCCUACGACUCUAGACGAAUGAAGGAAAACUUAGACUUUGAAACAACCUAAAAUACAAAAAAAUCCAAGUCAGAUCUAAGAACUAAAAAAGGCAGCAAUUAAAACAAAUAACAAAAAACAAAAACAAAAUAUCCAAAAUAAAUAUUAAAAACAAUUAAAUAAGAACAAAACUAUGACACCCCCAAACUCAACUUGGAUGAUCCAACCUGAAUUUCGAACAUCGCAUUAGCCACCGAAGUGACUCUCCAUUUAAAACUUUAAGAACCAC
rnacentral:lncRNA from 1 species